UGUCUAUUUCUAAUUUUAUGUAUUCCAUUCAUUUAACAAUGUAAUGUAAUUUGCUAAUCUUUUAAUGUUAUUAUUACCAACUAUUAAGAUGUAAAGAAAUGAAAGCUAGUACUUAUACAUUAUAAAGGAACUUGUAGUCAUAUUAGAUAUGUUUU